GCCACUGAUGAAAGAGCUUCCGAUACCGCGUAGGCGGAACGGAAACACACUAUGUCGAUGCAACUGUGAACUCUAUCUUUCGCUCCGAGCUGACGU